rnacentral:rRNA from 1 species
GAUGAACGCUGGCGGCGUGCUUAACACAUGCAAGUCGAACGAUGAUGCCCAGCUUGCUGGGUGGAUUAGUGGCGAACGGGUGAGUAACACGUGAGUAACCUGCCCUUGACUCUGGGAUAAGCCUGGGAAACUGGGUCUAAUACCGGAUACGACCAUCUGGCGCAUGUCAUGGUGGUGGAAAGCUUUUGUGGUUUUGGAUGGACUCGCGGCCUAUCAGCUUGUUGGUGGGGUAAUGGCCUACCAAGGCGACGACGGGUAGCCGGCCUGAGAGGGUGACCGGCCACACUGGGACUGAGACACGGCCCAGACUCCUACGGGAGGCAGCAGUGGGGAAUAUUGCACAAUGGGCGCAAGCCUGAUGCAGCGACGCCGCGUGAGGGAUGACGGCCUUCGGGUUGUAAACCUCUUUCAGUAGGGAAGAAGCGAAAGUGACGGUACCUGCAGAAGAAGCCCCGGCUAACUACGUG